UACGUAGGGUGCGAGCGUUUAAUCGGAAUUACUGGGCGUAAAGCGUGCGCAGGCGGUGAUGUAAGACAGAUGUGAAAUCCCCGGGCUCAACCUGGGAACUGCAUUUGUGACUGCAUCGCUGGAGUGCGGCAGAGGGGGAUGGAAUUCCGCGUGUAGCAGUGAAAUGCGUAGAUACGCGGAGGAACACCGAUGGCGAAGGCAAUCCCCUGGGCCUGCACUGACGCUCAUGCACGAAAGCGUGGGGAGCAAACAGG
rnacentral:rRNA from 1 species